rnacentral:tRNA from 1 species
ACCUGGCUGGCUUAGUCGGUAGAGCAUGUGACUCUUGAUCUCAGGUCAUGAGUUCAAGCCCGAUGUUGGGCA